rnacentral:rRNA from 1 species
GGUUACAGCUAUCGGUGUUCGCCUAAGCCAUGCGAGUCAUAUGUUCGUAAGAACAUGGCGUACUGCUCAGUAACACGUGGAUAACCUGCCCUUGGGUCCGGCAUAACCCCGGGAAACUGGGGAUAAUUCCGGAUAACGCACAUAUGCUGGAAUGCUUUAUGCGUAAAAUGGAUUCGUCUGCCCAAGGAUGGGUCUGCGGCCUAUCAGGUAGUAGUGGGUGUAAUGUACCUACUAGCCUACGACGGGUACGGGUUGUAAGAGCAAGAGCCCGGAGAUGGAUUCUGAGACAUGAAUCCAGGCCCUACGGGGCGCAGCAGGCGCGAAAACUUUACAAUGCGGGAAACCGUGAUAAGGGGACACCGAGUGCCAGCAUCCUAUGCUGGCUGUCCGGGUGUGUAAAAUACACCUGUUAGCAAGGGCCGGGCAAGACCGGCGCCAGCCGCCGCGGUAACACCGGCGGCCCGAGUGGUGAUCGUGAUUAUUGGGUCUAAAGGGUCCGUAGCCGGUUUGGUCAGUCCUCCGGGAAAUCUGACAGCUUAACUGUUAGGCUUUCGGAGGAUACUGCCAGACUUGGAACCGGGAGAGGUAAGAGGUACUACAGGGGUAGGAGUGAAAUCUUGUAAUCCCUGUGGGACCACCUGUGGCGAAGGCGUCUUACCAGAACGGGUUCGACGGUGAGGGACGAAAGCUGGUGGCACGAACCGGAUUAGAUACCCGGGUAGUCCCAGCCGUAAACGAUGCUCGCUAGGUGUCAGGCAUGGCGCGACCGUGUCUGGUGCCGCAGGGAAGCCGUGAAGCGAGCCACCUGGGAAGUACGGCCGCAAGGCUGAAACUUAA